UCGCGAAAAGAGUAUAUGGAGGAUGCCUAGACAUCAUCAGACGAAGAAGGACGCAGCAGUCGGCGAAACGCAUCGGGGAGGUGACGAGCAACCUAUGAGCCGGUGAUAUCCGAAUGGGGCAACCCACUAUGCUGGAAGAGCAUAGUAUCUUUAACUGAAUACAUAGGUUAAAGAAGAUAACCUAGGGAACUGAAACAUCCAAGUACCUAGAGGAAAAGAAAGCAACAAAAGCAAAUUAUAGAAUUGUUUACACUGUGCUUAGUGUUUGCAAUUUUGUAAUUUGUGCGAUUCCCCAAGUAGCGGCGAGCGAACGGGGAAGAGGCUAAACCGUCAAUGUUGCCAGACGCAAGUUGAUUUGCCUUCGGGUAAGUUGGCAAGUGUAGGGCAGGUUUGCAGGCCGUAUGCAUUAGCGGUGUCAUGAGAGCGAACAUUGAAGAACUGUAAUUCUUCACAGAGUUGUUAACACUUAUAGCCAAACGAGGUGGAAUCCUCGGCCCGAGAAGGUGAGAGCCCUGUCGGCGAAAUUUGUUGUUAAGCUUUGGUUUGUUUCUCAAGUACUGCGGGACUCGAGAAAUCCUGUGGGAAUUUGCGGCGACUACGCCGUCAGCCUAAAUACUAGAUGAUGAUCGAUAGUGAACCAGUACCGUGAGGGAAAGGUGAAAAAUACCCCGGAAGGGGAAUGAAAAGAUCUGAAACCAUAUACUUACAAGGAGAGGGAGUCGUCGCACUACACUGCGCUUCGUCCAGAAUUUUUAAUGAUUAAUGAUUAAUUUUUAAUAAAUUUUUAAUGCUUUAAUUUUUAAACAUUAGAAAUUUGAAAUUGUUUGGAAAUUGAAAAUUUAAAAUUGGAAAUUCCGGCACACGGAACAUAGUGCAGUGUGACGGUGACCUCGUGCCUAUUGAAGAAUGAGCCAACGAGUGUAGGUUUGUUGCUUGUCUAAACAAACGCAGUUUGUGAAGGCGGAGUGAAAGCGAGGCCUAACAGCCUAAGCCGCUGUAUAAAAAUUUCGUAGCGAAUUUAUUCGCUCGGAAUUUUUGUGCAGUUGGCGUGCAGCAAGUUUAUGACCCGAAACCAGGCGAGCUACGUAUGAGCAGGAUGAGUCGACCGUAAAUGGUCGAGGAGGUCCGAACCCACGUGCUGUGCAAAACACGGGGAUGACUUGUGCGUAGAGGAGAAAUUCCAAUCGAGCUUGGUAAUAGCUGGUUCUCCUCGAAAUAGUUUAAGGACUAGCCUCAUCUAAGAUCUCUGGUGGUAGAGCACUGAAUAGUGGCAGGGGUGAAUAACCUACUGUCGCUAACCAAACUCCGAAUGCCAGUCAGAUCGCAACCAGAUGGGAGUCAGAACGUGGGGGCUAAGCUCCACUGUUCAAAAGGGAAACAGCCCUAGACCAUCAACUAAGGCCCCAAAGUAACUGCUAAGUGUCAAAGGAGGUGUUAUUACUCAAACAACCAGGAGGUUGGCUUAGAGGCAGCCAUCCUUUCAAGAAAGCGUAAUAGCUCACUGGUCAAGUGAUAGCGCGCCGAAAAUGGAUCGGGGCUAAGCAGUUCGCCGAAGUUAUGGACUAGUUAUCGUUUCGACGAUAACUAAGUGGUAGAGGAGCGUUCGCUUCAGCGUUGAAGUCAAACCGCGAGGUUUGGUGGAGCGGAGCGAAGUGAGAAUGUUGGCAUUAGUAGCGAUAUUGCAGGUGAGAACCCUGCACACCGAAAAUCCAAGGUUUCCUGGGCAACGGCAGUCGACCCAGGGUGAGGCGGGACCUAAGCCGAGGCCGAAAGGCGUAAGCGAUGGAAGAGUCCGGUUAAUAUUCCGGCCCUGCCUUGAGAUGAGAUGAGCUAGGGACGCUGGUAAAUCUUUACCGUGUGCUUUUGAAUGCGCACAUUAUUGUCGCAAGACAGUACUAGGUUGAAGCCUUCGGGCCGAGGCCAAGGGUAAUCAAAUACUAGCCGGGAAAAGCUAGUCGCAUCGUUAUCAAUCUCAAGGCACUCGUACCGUAAUCCGACACAGGUGGGUGAGGAGAGAAUCCUAAGGUGGACGAGCGAAUUCUCGUUUAGGAACUCGGCAAAAAAGCGGGCGUACCUUCGGUAUAUGCCCUGCCCGAUGCAAAUCGGGCCGCAGCGAAAGAUCUCAAGCGACUGUUUACCAAAAACACAGGUCCCUGCAAUAAAGCGCAAGCUGAAGUAUAGGGGCUGAUGCCUGGCCAGUGUCCGAACGUUAAGGGGAGAGGUUCACGCCUUGAUCCGAAGCGCGGAUGAACGCAAGCCGUAACUAUAACGGUUCUAAGGUUUCUGAAUUAUUUGAAAGAAUGAUUUAGAAAAAAUUGGAACUGUUAUAGCUUCGAAAAUAAAUCGUGCACAAGCUGCCUGAUUUUGUGGUA
rnacentral:ncRNA from 1 species